rnacentral:rRNA from 1 species
AACGAACGCUGGCGGCAGGCUUAACACAUGCAAGUCGAGCGCGUGGCAACACGAGCGACAGACGGGUGAGUAACACGUGGGAACGUACCCUUUUCUACGGAAUAACGCAGGGAAACUUGUGCUAAUACCGUAUACGCCCUUUUGGGGAAAGAUUUAUCGGAGGAGGAUCGGCCCGCGUUGGAUUAGCCAGUUGGUGGGGUAAAGGCCUACCAAGGCGACGAUCCAUAGCUGGUCUGAGAGGAUGAUCAGCCACAUUGGGACUGAGACACGGCCCAAACUCCUACGGGAGGCAGCAGUGGGGAAUAUUGGACAAUGGGCGCAAGCCUGAUCCAGCUAUGCCGCGUGAGUGAUGAAGGCCGUAGGGUUGUAAAGCUCUUUCACCGAUGAAGAUAAUGACGGUAGUCGGAGAAGAAGCCCCGGCUAACUUCGUGCCAGCCGCCGCAGUAAUAC